AUUGAACGCUGGCGGCAGGCCUAACACAUGCAAGUCGAACGAGUGGCGGACGGGUGAGUAAUGUCUGGGAAACUGCCCGAUGGAGGGGGAUCACUACUGGAAACGGUAGCUAAUACCGCAUACCAUCGGAUGUGCCCAGAUGGGAUUAGCUUGUAGGUGAGGUAACGGCGCACCUAGGCGACGGUCCCUAGCUGGUCUGAGAGGAUGAGCAGGCACGUGGGAAAGGAGACACGGUCCAGACGCCGACGGGAUGCAGCAGGGGGGAAUAUUGCAGAAGGGGCGCAUGCCUGAUGAAGCAAUGACGCGGGUAUGAAGAAGGCCUUCGGGGGGUAAAGUACUUUCAGCGGGGAGGCGUUACCCGCAGAAGAAGCACCGGCUAACUCCGUGCCAGCAGCCGCGGUAAUUC
rnacentral:rRNA from 1 species